rnacentral:lncRNA from 1 species
CUGAGAACAGAUUUGAAGAGGCGGAGCCAGGGGAGGCCUGUGCUACAUGCAGAGGAGGAGAGGCUUCCGCUGUAACUGUGUAUAGGAUUGCUUGAAGCGGCCUCUCCAAAGGGAGAAUGGAAGAGAAAUGCGAUGGGUUUCCCAAGAGUUAUUGUCACUGCUCGGAUCAAUCCCAACAUCUACAAACAUCAGGCGCUUGAGGGAAGGAAGCCACUGAAAGGCCUGCUGACAUCUUGAGCCUGUGAAAUGUAUUUGCUAAAAUAAUGACACGGCAGGCCCAGAGUGACUUUUCCAGCCCUCAUUAUCGUCACUCCUUCCCAGAAAGAUUUAAUUAGAUCAGAAAAAAAAAGUUUCCUUCCAUGUGAUGAUGACUUAUAGCAUUGCAUUAUUCUUAAUAUCCCAGAACAUGACAUCGGGACGAACUAGAAAGAGGAAGCUUUGGGAUUGGGCUCAUGGGUCUUCCUUGGCCGCUUUCUAUUAAUUGCUGCUUAAAGUAAAGAGAGAACUCUUAUUAGGACUUCUUGAAGAUGGUAAAGCUUCUCACAAAUUGCUGUUGAUGCUGAAAAUGGAGGGAAAAGGAAAGAUCCUGAUUCUCCUUGUCAGGCUGAUGUUUGACGAUUUCACUUUUCAAGAUGACUCUUUUUGGUUCUUAACCCAGCACAUCCCCAAAUAUUCAGGCAAUUUUCUAUCAGAAACUGGGCAGCAACCAGGUAUUUGUAGCAGGGAAUUUUGUGAAUACAUUUUCUCCAGUUUUCCUUAAAAAAAAAAGGUACCUUCUCGUGAUUAUAUGGUUAUUCUGUAGAAGCUAUGGCAGCAUUCAAAACCCAUCAUUCCUUAAUAUCCAAAACUAUUAUCUAUUUCAUGAAUUAUUUUCUUUGAUAAUGACUUCCUACACUAUUUCUCAUGAUUUCUCAGAAAUGUCAUCACAUAUUUUUAUAUACAUGCAUGUGUGUAUAUGUAUGUGUGUGUGUGUAUAAACAUACACACACAUUAUGUCCCAUUGUAUUAACUGUGCCCUUUAGGUUACCAACAACUUUAAAUUCAUCCUCUUACAAUCAUUUGGAUUACUU